AAUAAGUAUAGUUUUGUACUGUUUAUGUCCAACGUUUGACCGUUCUUCUUAUUUGAAAAUGUUUUAUAAUUAGUAAUUCUAUUGUUAUUAGAUGAUAAAAAAUGAAUAAUACUAUGUGUGACUAUUUUAUUAUAUUUUUUUAAAAAAGACCAAUGAUAAAACGUUGCAUACGGAUAUCCAUGGUUACACUUAUU
rnacentral:pre_miRNA from 1 species